rnacentral:rRNA from 1 species
UGGGGAAUAUUGCACAAUGGGCGCAAGCCUGAUGCAGCCAUGCCGCGUGUGUGAAGAAGGCCUUCGGGUUGUAAAGCACUUUCAGCGGGGAGGAAGGCGGUGAGGUUAAUAACCUCAUCGAUUGACGUUACCCGCAGAAGAAGCACCGGCUAACUCCGUGCCAGCAGCCGCGGUAAUACGGAGGGUGCAAGCGUUAAUCGGAAUUACUGGGCGUAAAGCGUACGCAGGCGGUCUGUCAAGUCGGAUGUGAAAUCCCCGGGCUCAACCUAGGAACUGCAUUCGAAACUGGCAGGGUAGAGUCUUGUAGAGGGGGGUAGAAUUCCAGGUGUGGCGGUGAAAUGCGUAGGGAUCUGGAGGAAUACCGGUGGCGGAGGCGGCCCCCUGGACGAAGACUGACGCUCAGGUGCGAAAGCGUGGGGGGCAAACAGG